rnacentral:rRNA from 1 species
CUUGAAACACGGACCAAGGAGUUUAUCGUGUACGCAAGUCAUUGGGUAAAUAAAACCCAAUGGCGAAAUGAAAGUAAAAAGUUGAGUUGAUGUUAAAAAUUUAUUUUUUAAUUAUCUCUCGCUUAAGGGAAGAUGAAAAUUUAAUUAAUAAUAUAUUUAUAUAUUGUUAAUAUAAAAUUUUCGCACUCCCAGGGCGCUUGUUUCACGCUUUGCGUGUCAAUGCGCACCUAGAGCGUACACGCUGAUACCCGAAAGAUGGUGAACUAUGCCUGGCCAGGACGAAGCCAGGGGAAACCCUGGUGGAGGUCCGCAGCGAUUCUGACGUGCAAAUCGAUCGUCGGAGCUGGGUAUAGGGGCGAAAGACCAAUCGAACCAUCUAGUAGCUGGUUCCCUCUGAAGUUUCCCUCAGGAUA